rnacentral:rRNA from 1 species
GACGAACGCUGGCGGUGUGCUUAACACAUGCAAGUCGAACGGUAAGGCCCUUUCGGGGGUACACGAGUGGCGAACGGGUGAGUAACACGUGAGUAACCUGCCCUCAUCUCUGGGAUAGCAGUCGGAAACGGUUGCUAAUACUGGAUAUGAGCUUGCAAGGCAUCUUGUGGGUUGGAAAGAUUUUUUUGGUUGGGGAUGGACUCGCGGCCUAUCAGCUUGUUGGUGAGGUAGUGGCUCACCAAGGCUUCGACGGGUAGCCGGCCUGAGAGGGCGACAGGCGACAUUGGGACUGAGGUACGGCCCAAGCUCCUACGGGAGGCAGCAGUGGGGAAUAUUGCACAAUGGACGGAAGUCUGAUGCAGCAACGCCGCGUGCGGGAUGACGGCCUUCGGGUUGUAAACCGCUUUCAAUUGUGACGAAGCUUUUUGUGACGGUAGCAGUAGAAGAAGCACCGGCUAACUACGUG